rnacentral:RNase_P_RNA from 2 species
GUGGGCGGUCUGCGGCUUCGGACGUUACGUCUGAGGAAGUUCUGUCCAUGAGGCUGGGACCGUAGCUCUUUGAGCCUGGCGAAAGUCAGGGUAAAGCACAGAAACAACACGGCCAUCACAAGAUGAAGAUGAGACAGCUCAUCUGUCGAAGAUUGUGGUGGAAGCGGUGAAAAGCUCCCUUACGGUCAUGCAAGACCAAAUGGUGCCGAUGAAAGCCCAGCCAGAGGCACAGGUGGGUCGCUCAGUGGAAUGCCGCAGGUGAGUAUUCACGUACAAAAGACAGACUAUAGGCCGCCCAC